UGAGUCGGUCAGACGACCGCAGUGUUGUGAUGUUCGCAUUUCAACAUUGAGGAAAGUCGGGACUUCGCAGGACAAAGUGCUGGUGAAAGCCAGAUCGGGGCGACCUGAUAUUACGUGCAACAGAAAAUAAACCGCCGAUGGACAAACGUCGCAAGACAUUUGUAACAGGUAAGGAUGAAACGGUGCGGUAAGAGCGCACCAGCGCAAUUGGCAACAGUUGCGGCUUGGUACGUCACUUGAAGCAAGGCCAUGCAGAGGGUAUGAACUGUCCGUU
rnacentral:RNase_P_RNA from 1 species